UACGUAGGUGGCGAGCGUUGUCCGGAAUUACUGGGUGUAAAGGGCGUGCAGGCGGGGAUGUAAGUCAGAUGUGAAAUACCACGGCUUAACUGUGGGGCUGCAUCUGAAACUAUGUUUCUUGAGUGCCGGAGAGGAAAGCGGAAUUCCCAGUGUAGCGGUGAAAUGCGUAGAUAUUGGGAGGAACACCAGUGGCGAAGGCGGCUUUCUGGACGGUAACUGACGCUGAGGCGCGAAAGCGUGGGGAGCAAACAGG
rnacentral:rRNA from 1 species